GGAAAUCUCACCAGGCCCGGACACUGGAAGGAUUGACAGAUUGAGAGCUCUUUCUCGAUUCGGUGGGUGGUGGUGCAUGGCCGUUCUUAGUUGGUGGAGUGAUUUGUCUGGUUAAUUCCGAUAACGAACGAGACUCUGUCCUGCUAAAUAGUGUCAGCCUCUCUUUUGGGCUGACAAUUCUUCUUAGAGGGACUGGCGGCCCCUAGCCGCACGAAAUAGAGCAAUAA
rnacentral:rRNA from 1 species